rnacentral:rRNA from 1 species
UACGUUCCAGGCCUUGUACACACCGCCCGUCACAUCAUGAAAGCCGCUUGUACCCGAAGUCGCCCUUAAAAGGUGCCGAAGGUAUGGGUGGUGAUUGGGAUG